GAUGAAGAACGUAGCGAAAUGCGAUAAGUAAUGUGAAUUGCAGAAUUCCGUGAAUCAUCGAAUCUUUGAACGCACAUUGCGCCCUCUGGUAUUCCGGGGGGCAUGCCUGUCCGAGCGUCAUUUGCAACCCUCAAGCCCGGCUUGUGUGAUGGGUGCCGUCCCCUACGGGACGCGCCCCGAAGGCAAUGGUGGCGUCGCGGUUAUCCGAUCAGCCAAAGUGUAUGGGGCUUUGUCACUCACUUUACGGCCCGGACCGGCGCCAGUCCGAAUCAAUCUUUUUUCUAAAGUUGACCUCGGAUCAGGCAGGGAUACCCGCUGAACUUAAGCAUAUCAAUAAGCGGAGGA
rnacentral:misc_RNA from 1 species